rnacentral:rRNA from 1 species
GCCUGAGAGGGUGAUCGGACACACUGGAACUGAGACACGGUCCAGACUCCUACGGGAGGCAGCAGUAGGGAAUAUUGCUCAAUGGGGGCAACCCUGAAGCAGCAACGCCGCGUGGAGGAUGAAGGUUUUAGGAUUGUAAACUCCUUGUGUCAGGGACGAUAAUGACGGUAUCUCACGAAUAAGCACCGGCUAACUCCGUGCCAGCAG